rnacentral:rRNA from 1 species
CCUACGGGUGGCAGCAGUGAGGAAUAUUGGUCAAUGGCCGGAAGGCUGAACCAGCCAAGUCGCGUGAGGGACUAAGGCCCUAUGGGUCGUAAACCUCUUUUGUCAGGGAGCAAAGGCGUCCACGAGUGGACGGAAGGGGAGUACCUGAAGAAAAAGCAUCGGCUAACUCCGUGCCAGCAGCCGGGGUAAUACGGAGGAUGCGAGCGUUAUCCGGAUUUAUUGGGUUUAAAGGGGGCGUAGGCGGAGAGUAAAGUCAGCGGUAAAAUUUCGGGGCUAAACGCCGUCGUGCCGUUGAAACUGGCACCCUUGAGUGAGUGAGAAGUAAGCGGAAUGCGUGGUGUAGCGGUGAAAUGCAUAGAUAUCACGCAGAACGCCGAUUGCGAAGGCAGCUUACCGGCGCUCAACUGACGCUGAGGCACGAAAGUGCGGGUAUCGAACAGGAUUAGAUACCCUUGUAGUC